AAAUUAUCUUCAUAUUUCUGUGCCAUACUCUUAGCAACUGAGGAACUAGUAACUUUUUCCCCAGGGAUAGCAUACUGGCGGGAAGAUUCUCUCAAUCUACUCUCUUUAAUGAUUUGCUCAUUUUCAAGCUCCUGUAACUUGUUGUAGUAUUCCUCACUCUUCUUCUUCUUCACUGUCUGUUGCCAUUCUGUUUCAGCAUCCUUAAUAACCUUAGGUUUUAAUUCGGGCCUAUGGUCGAUAACACCUUGGCGUUGCAUAGUUUGCCUUUCUUCGAAUGUUUUUUCUAACUCAGUUUCAGUGCGUUGAUAUUGUGUUUGAAAAUACUUACGUCUUGGCGCGUUUUUGAGAACACUUCUAUAAUCAUCGUGUCUCGGAAUAACUUUUAAUUCGGUCGUAGCCAGAGCCUCGCCAACUGAACUUCUUGCAAUGACUUCAAUUUUUCCAGUAUCGUACUGUCUGGUUUUUGGUAUGUCAAAAUGAUACAUUCCAUCGUAAGUUAACUUGUAUCUAGAGCCCUGUGAAAUUAUACGAUAGAUAUUAUUAUACCU
rnacentral:misc_RNA from 1 species